CCUACGGGGGGCAGCAGUGGGGAAUAUUGGACAAUGGGGGGAACCCUGAUCCAGCCAUGCCGCGUGUGUGAAGAAGGCCCUCGGGUUGUAAAGCACUUUCAGUGAGGAAGAACGCCUGGUGGUGAAUACCCAUCAGGAAAGACAUCACUCACAGAAGAAGCACCGGCUAACUCCGUGCCAGCAGCCGCGGUAAUACGGAGGGUGCGAGCGUUAAUCGGAAUUACUGGGCGUAAAGCGCGCGUAGGUGGCUUGAUAAGCCGGUUGUGAAAGCCCCGGGCUCAACCUGGGAACGGCAUCCGGAACUGUCGAGCUAGAGUGCAGGAGAGGAAGGUAGAACUCCCGGUGUAGCGGUGAAAUGCGUAGAGAUCGGGAGGAAUACCAGUGGCGAAGGCGGCCUUCUGGACUGACACUGACACUGAGGUGCGAAAGCGUGGGUAGCAAACAGGAUUAGAUACCCUGGUAGUC
rnacentral:rRNA from 1 species